GCGUCCAUAGCUCAGUCGGUAGAGCACCUGCCUUUUAAGCAGAGGGUCGUUGGUUCGAUUCCAACUGGACGCA
rnacentral:tRNA from 2 species